rnacentral:tRNA from 1 species
AGCCUUGUAACUCAGUGGGAGAGUGCUUCUCUGACAAAGAGGAAGUCUCAGCUACCCUGCCUUACGUUCCGCGUCUACAAAUCCUGUCAGGGCUA